rnacentral:rRNA from 1 species
CCUACGGGUGGCAGCAGUGGGGAAUAUUGGGCAAUGGGCGCAAGCCUGACCCAGCAACGCCGCGUGAAGGAAGAAGGCUUUCGGGUUGUACACUUCUUUUAUGAGGGAAGAGCAGAAGACGGUACCUCUUGAAUAAGACACGGCUACCUAGGUGCCAGCAGCCGCGGUCAUACGUAGGCGGCAAGCGUUGUCCGGAUUUACUGGGUGUAAAGGGCGUGUAGCCGGGCUGACAAGUCAGAGGUGAAAUCCCGUGACUCAACCACGGAACUGCAUUUGAAACUGUCGGUCGUGAGUAUCGGAGAGGCAGGAGGAAUGCGUGGUGUAGCGGUGAAAUGCGUAGAUAUUAGGAGGAACACCAGUGGCGAAGGCGGCCUGCUGGACGACAACUGACGGUGAGGCGCGAAAGCGUGGGGAGCAAACAGGAUUAGAUACCCGAGUAGUC